GCACUUCCUGGUAGAUACAGCUGACUGCAUCACAGUAUGUGGUAUCCCGGCAACUGUGUUCCAAGAUUCUUUGGACUCCAUUGAAUGCAGGACGUAUGGAGGCCCCACUGACAAUGGCAUGGUCACCUCUGCCGAUACCAAAGUUUCUGUGGCCUCUGCUGAGGGACACUUACACUCGGUACAAAGGGAGGUGUCCAGUUCCCCUGGAUCCACUGCCAGCACAGUUCUUGCAUCUAAGGCUCAUGAAGCAUCUUGGAAGUGGGAUAAGGAAAGAUUAUAAGAGCCAAGGUUCUGGAAAUCUGCUGUGGAUUGUGUCCCCUAGGCACACAGAGAAACCCAGUCUCCAAAAUCCAAAAUAAAUAAGAAGAUAAAAUAAAUAAAAAUUAAAAGGGAGCUCUUGCUAUUGGCUAAA